rnacentral:rRNA from 1 species
CAGCCGCCGCGGGAAUACGUAGGUCCCGAGCGUUGUCCGGAUUUAUUGGGCGUAAAGCGAGCGCAGGCGGUUAGAUAAGUCUGAAGUUAAAGGCUGUGGCUUAACCAUAGUACGCUUUGGAAACUGUUUAACUUGAGUGCAAGAGGGGAGAGUGGAAUUCCAUGUGUAGCGGUGAAAUGCGUAGAUAUAUGGAGGAACACCGGUGGCGAAAGCGGCUCCCUGGCUUGUAACUGACGCUGAGGCUCGAAAGCGUGGGGAGCAAACAGGAUUAGAUACCCGGGUAGUCCCUGUCUCUUAUACA